AUUAAUUUGAGAGUUUGAUCCUGGCUCAGGACGAACGCUGGCGGCGUGCCUAAUACAUGCAAGUCGAACGAACUCUGGUAUUGAUUGGUGCUUGCAUCAUGAUUUACAUUUGAGUGAGUGGCGAACUGGUGAGUAACACGUGGGAAACCUGCCCAGAAGCGGGGGAUAACACCUGGAAACAGAUGCUAAUACCGCAUAACAACUUGGACCGCAUGGUCCGAGCUUGAAAGAUGGCUUCGGCUAUCACUUUUGGAUGGUCCCGCGGCGUAUUAGCUAGAUGGUGGGGUAACGGCUCACCAUGGCAAUGAUACGUAGCCGACCUGAGAGGGUAAUCGGCCACAUUGGGACUGAGACACGGCCCAAACUCCUACG
rnacentral:rRNA from 2 species